CAAUAGCGUAUAUUAAAGUUGUUGCGGUUAAAAAGCUCGUAGUUGGAUUUCUGCCGAGGACGACCGGUCCGCCCUCUGGGUGAGUAUCUGGCUCGGCCUGGGCAUCUUCUUGGAGAACGUAGCUGCACUUGACUGUGUGGUGCGGUAUCCAGGACUUUUACUUUGAGGAAAUUAGAGUGUUUCAAGCAGGCUUACGCCUUGAAUACAUUAGCAUGGAAUAAUAAGAUAGGACCUCGGUUCUAUUUUGUUGGUUUCUAGAGCUGAGGUAAUGAUUAAUAGGGAUAGUUGGGGGCAUUCGUAUUUAACUGUCAGAGGUGAAAUUCUUGGAUUUGUUAAAGAUGGACUACUGCGAAAGCAUUUGCCAAGGAUGUUUUCAUUG
rnacentral:rRNA from 1 species